rnacentral:rRNA from 1 species
AGAGUUUGAUCCUGGCUCAGAUUGAACGCUGGCGGCAUGCCUUACACAUGCAAGUCGAACGCGAAAGGGGGCAACCCCGAGUAGAGUGGCGAACGGGUGAGCAAUACAUCGGAACACGUCCUGUAGCGGGGGACAACCCCGAGAAAUCGGGGCUAAUACCGCAUACGAUCCAAGGAUGAAAGUGGGGGACCGCAAGGCCUCACACUAUAGGAGCGGCCGAUGCCGGAUUAGCUAGUUGGCGGGGUAAUAGCCCACCAAGGCUACGAUCCGUAGCUGGUUUGAGAGAACGACCAGCCACACUGGGACUGAGACACGGCCCAGACUCCUACGGGAGGCAGCAGUGGGGAAUUUUGGACAAUGGGCGAAAGCCUGAUCCAGCCAUGCCGCGUGAGUGAAGAAGGCCUUCGGGUUGUAAAGCUCUUUCGGCGGGGACGAAAUGGCGCGGGGUAACAUCCCGCGUCGAUGACGGUACCCGAAGAAGAAGGACCGGCUAACUACGUGCCAGCAGCCGCGGUAAUACGUAGGGUGCGAGCGUUAAUCGGAAUUACUGGGCGUAAAGCGUGCGCAGGCGGUUUUGUAAGACAGGUGUGAAAUCCCCGGGCUUAACCUGGGAACUGCAUUUGUGACUGCAAGGCUAGAGUGCGGCAGAGGGGGGUAGAAUUCCACGUGUAGCAGUGAAAUGCGUAGAGAUGUGGAGGAAUACCGAUGGCGAAGGCAGCCCCCCUGGGUCGACACUGACGCUCAUGCACGAAAAGCGUGGGGGAGCAAACAGGAUUAGAUACCCCUGGUAGUCCACGCCC